rnacentral:rRNA from 1 species
GGCUGAACGCUAAUAAUAUGCUUUACACAUGCGAGUUGAACGAAAUUUUUCGUAGCGAACGGGUGAGGAAUACGCAAAUUUAAUAAAAAAAUCUACCUUUUAAUUCAAGAUAAACUAUACUUAUUAACAAUAUUAAUUGUUAAUAAGAAAAAAUCAUUUUUUGAUUUGUAGUAAUAUUGAAUAAACAUAUAAAGAUUAUCUAAUAAUCGUUAAAAGAUGAGUUUGUGUAAGAUUAGGUUGUUGGUAAAAGUAAUAGCUUACCAAGCCUUCGAUCUUUAGUUGGUCUUAGAGGACGUCCAACCACACUGGAACUGAGACAAGGUCCAGGCUAAUUUUUGGCCAGCAGUGAGGAAUAUUGGACAAUGAACGAAAGUUUGAUCCAGCAAUAUUAUGUGAAUGAUUGACGGCUAAUUUUUGGUUGUAAAGUUCUUUCAUUAAAAAUGAUAAUGACAUUAUUUAAAGAAGUUUUAGUCCCGGCUAAUCUCGUGC